CUGGUGCUCGUCGUGGAAAACAUAUUCAUUGCGACCACCCUCACACGCCUAACCCCCAACGUACGCACACACAGGUACUAAUUCAACGGUUGAGUGCGCGAGCGUGUGUCUAGCAGGCGCACUCGACUGGAGCGGCGACCGCAUAAUCAUUCCGUUUGUUCCGGCUUCUUCGUUUGGUUUCUGGUUAAGGUAAAGUCGCACCUUUCCCACCGCUGCCACAGCGGUAGCUCCAGCAUAUCCUUUUCUGGCUGGCAGCCGUUCACCACCGACUGGGCUUACGCUGCUCUCUAAAGCAUCUUCUGUCCCUCUCACUGUGCACUGCUCUCUUCACCUUGUCUUUUGUCGGACCUUUCUCCGCGCUGUCUGAGCUCUGCACUCCUUUUCGCCGCGAAACACUUAAGCGAGCGCGCAUACACUGAGGAAGUACGCUUCUCAUCUCGAAUCCUACUUUUUUUUUGUCUUUUUGUUUCUGCUCUUCCUCUGUGUCAACCGUCUUCGCAUCGGUUUCACGGGAAGAAGUGUCGCGUGACUCUUGGCGGAGAGACAGAGAGGGUGGAGGGUGGGGGGGUGGAGUGAAGCCGUCUUUCCUUUUUUUCUCACCUCAAAUCCCACCUCCUACGGCAUUUUGUUUCUGUGCUUGUGUAUGUUGUCAUUGCCGCUGUCGUCGUUGCUGCUGCGGGGUGUCUCUGACGUGCGCGCCUGGUUUCGUGCUUGCGCCGUUUUUCUUCGCCCUUUUGCUUGUGCUCUGUUGUUGUUUCGUGAGACCCUUGCCGGGCAUUCUUUUCCCUUCGCUUCUCCUCUUAUUGAUCCGUUACCUGCCUCUCUCACCCCCUGCCUCUUGUGUGCAUGUGCGUGUGCGUGCCUAUAUAUCACCUCCCUUUUCGUUCUGUGGUGUGUUUGCGUUGCUUCUGCGUUUCUUUGUCACGCCCCUUCGAAGCCUAUAAGGACUACGGGGAUCUCCCUCUUUCCCCUCUCUCGCUCUCCAUUACACCCCCUUAGUUGUUUCCCCUGUGCGUGUGUAUCGGACGACACGGCCAGCCUCAUCGUCCAUUGGCAUUCACCUCAGCAUCAUUCCGCUUCAGCCCCCAGCUCGCUUCCCCAUCCUCCGUUCUCGCCGAGUAAGAGUAACUUCUAUAAUCAGAAAGAGCGACUGAGAAAGCGUUGACAGAAUUCAUAAAACCAACAAAAAAGAGGGUCGAAAGAGAAGAGUGCGCGCGCAGUGUGCGAAGCGAAGUGGAGACGCGGACAUAUCCGCUGAAGCUGCUCUUCUUCUCUCGCCGUGUGCUCGCUUGCCCGUCUCUUCCUCGCUCUCUCCCUCUUUUUCCAUCUCCUGCUUGGGUUUUUCCCCAGUAUCUUUCCGCCCACACUUCUUUCGCUUUCCUCUAUAAGGGCGUGCCACCAUAGUGUGUGUGUGUGUGGGCUCGCUGUCGUCUUUGCUUCGUGCGUGUCUCUGCGUGCCGGUAGAUCUGUGAAAAGGGGAGAAGGAAGUGUUGUCUGAAUCACGAGGAGACAACCCUGCGCCUAUUACCAUCUGAGACGCGAUAAGGACGCUCCUUGUUGACCUUGCCACCGCACUGCUCUCUCUCUCUCUAUUUGCCGUUUUUAAGCCGGCUCACAGAAAGAUGAGGGCUUUUCAGCUUUACACCUGUGCUGCGUUCCGUGGGCUUGUGCGGAGUACUGUGGCUACACCAGCACGCACGAUCUCGCAGAGCACGCCGUUGUCGUCGAGCACGCAUGACGUCGAUGGAAGCAGCAGCAGCGGUGGUGCCGCUAGUACCAGCCCGGCAAGGACUUCUUGGUCGCACGUGUCGUCACGCUUCUCCUCCUUUCCUGUGACCGGCGACUGCGCUGCCAUUCUGAAGUAUCCAUACAAGGUAAUCAGCACCGAGCAGGAACUGAAAGAAGCCGUUGGGGUGUUGCAGCGCAGUCGGCAGAUCGCCAUCGACGUCGAGGCUUUCUGCACCCCAGAGGCAAUCAAGACGCCUCAGCUUGGUCGUGUCUCGCUUGUGCAGACCUGCAGUGACGUGGUACCGGUCGUGUUCUUGUUUGACGUUCUCUCUUUGUCAGUGCCGGUCUUCAUGCAGGCUCUCCGGCCCGUGUUCCAUGACGAGACAAUUCGAAAGCUCUUCUUCGACUGCCGACGCGACAUCGAAGCACUGAGCACGCAGAUGGACUUGACCCCGAGGCGUGUGCUGGAUUUGCAGCUCCUUUUUACCGCCGUGCAGUGGAAGCUGCGCAGCGUGAACCGGCGAUCUGGCAUGACGUACGUGCUUAAGAGUGUCGCCGGUAUCCACCGGCAGGAGGGCGACUCUGCCGUGCAGACAGCCAUGAUGGUUGGCGACCGCCCUGUUUGGGAUACGCGACCGCUUCCGGAGCACUUUCUCGAGUACGCCGCCGACGAUGUUCGGCACAUCCACCUCCUCUCCACGUACUUUCCGUCUCUGACGCAGCAGGUGUCGGAGGCAGCGGUGGAGCGGCUGACGGCGCAAUACGUCGAGCACUACGGCAUCGGACAUGCGGUGACAGAAGAGGCCGACGCCCAGCCAGCUCAGGUGAACACGGCCUGGCUGGAGCGGUACAUCGGGCCCGGCGGGGUCUGCAGUUUCUGUGGUAGCAAGGGGCACACGGAGACGGAGUGCUUCCGCAAGCUGAACGGCAACAUGCGCUGCUCCUUCUGCGGCGGUACGGGCCACACGGCGCGUAAUUGCUUCCAGAAGCACCCCGAGCUGCUCAAGUGCGACCGCUGCGGCCAGCUAGGGCACAGUACCGCCAACUGCUUCCGUGCGAACCCGUGCAAGCACUGCGGAGGCAACCACCGAAGUGAGAACUGCCACUACCGCGCGCAUAUUGCGAAUGCGUGAGCUGCCUCCGAGAGGCAGAGAGUCGCAUCAUUACAAGACGCAAGGCAGCACGGGUGUGUGGAGGCGCGUGCCAGCUUUUUUUUUAGAGGGGCUGAGCGCGUACCUUGUCCCGGAAGCGUUCUUUUCUGUGUUGCGGCACGAUUCCCCUCCCGUCAUAAUACGAUGUAGCAGAUGAACUCCGUUCAAGCUGUAUCUGCUCGCGAUGACUGGUUGUGAUCACCACCGCCGGCCUGCUCUUCUUUUUUUUUCUUUGUUUUGUAUACCUUGCUUGACAGUGUUUGACCUGUCUCAUUCUGGCACAGAAGGAAGUCAACCUGCCACGGGGACAAAGCCCCAAGGGGAAGGGGAAGGAAGGGCGAUGGUGGUUGAUGGCGGGUGCGCAGACGGACUUGAGCGGUGCGUGGGCAGCGGUGAGCGCCGUCAAGGGCUUUCUUUCCACCCCAUCUCGUUUGUCCUCUCGGUUUCUCCUCUCCACGUUCUCCGUUCUCUCAACACUCUCGGGAAGUCUUAUCCCACUCCGGCAAUCUCGAGCAUGCACUUUUUUCAGUUUGUCUUUUCCUUAUAAUCUUGCACUUUCGGGCUGAGGGGUGCAUGAUCAUGGUGAUGGUACAAAGGGUGCGAGGGUUGGUGUAGUUCCUGUGAGGAAGGGAGACGGACAUAUACACUCCGACGUCAUGCCUGCGCUUCUUUCUCGUACUCACUUGUCGCACAUCCACAUAGACGUUCCAGAAAAAGAAAAUCAGACGGCUGUCUUCUGCUCAAAUCAAGCAGCGGCAGGACGGUCGAGGGUGAUUGUGUCAACGCGUGUCUGUGCGGAACUGUCCCUGUGGUUGGAUGGAGGGCAGAAACAUCUCCCUCCCUUCCCCCUGCGCCUUUCUCACCCCUUACGAAGAGGUGAGGCUGGGCAGCGCAUUUGCUGGUCUCCGUAUCUCUCGUGAAGUUGGGCAGCCCCUCCGCUUGCUUCUGUUGGCCUACACAGUAUGGCCUUCUCCCCCUUCCGAGUCCCACUCACACCCCACACGACUCGUGUGGGCGCACUUGUGCUUUGAUCGCCGCUAGUGAGUUGGUUCGGAUAGCGUACGUGGAGGAUAUGAGACGACUGUAGAUCUCUCUCUGACAUGCAAGCAACCAGCUCAGUGUGAGCAGCAUCUCUUGCUGGACGGCUGCUGCUCGUGUACUGCUAAAGCUUCACUGUGCACUCUCACCCGUGAUGUGCAGCAGCGUACUUGCCGCGAUAUGCGAAAAAAAAAGAAGGAGGAAAACAGUCUCCUUUCCUCCGUGAUCUUGAGAAGAAGCAGAGGAGCGAAAAUCAAAGCACGCCGAACCGGAUGCCCGCUUCACCGUGCAUAAGAUGUGAAAUUGCUCUGCGCCAACUCUGAACCCUCUUACCCGUGUCUAACACUCUCCAUUCGGCUCUCUCCCUCUUGCGUCGCCGAGUGUCACUCCAUGAUUUCGCUGCACGGCACAAAAG
rnacentral:misc_RNA from 1 species